rnacentral:rRNA from 1 species
UAGGGAAUCUUCGGCAAUGGGGGCAACCCUGACCGAGCAGCGCCGCGUGAGUGAAGAAGGUUUUCGGAUCGUAAAGCUCUGUUGUAAGAGAAGAACGUGUGUGAGAGUGGAAAGUUCACACAGUGACGGUAACUUACCAGAAAGGGACGGCUAACUACGUGCCAC